UCACAGAAUUUAAGGAUGCCAAACCAUU
rnacentral:piRNA from 1 species